GCCUCUAUUGAGUCAAACACAGCGCUGUUUGACUAGAAUUAGAACAUCAUAGAGAUAACAGCCAUGGACCUGUCCAGGCUGGAGCGGCGGCGCUAAUGUGAGGCAGAGUAGGAGAAGGAGAACCGCAGGUGAUGAUGGAGAGGAUUAUGAUGAGAUCCAACAUUCCUUGGAAGGGGAGCAGCACCCGUCAUAUUUCUUGAUGCCCAAGCAGCAUAGGGACUCCACGGUAGCCAACUGCUGAUCUGGCCGAUGGGUGGCUACCACUUCUGGAUUUUAGAUCAUAUCAAGCACACCACAAUGGCCCCCAAUCGUUCAGCUGGCUGCCUCCACAGCAGUUGGCCAAGAUCAUCGUCCUCCAUAAAAAAAAAAAGUCUAUUGUCUUUUCAACAUCACUGAAAGAUUUCCAAAUCUUGAUAAAAAUAGGAAGAACAAAUAAAUUGCAUCAAUUUGCAUAGAAACAAUAGAACAAGUGAUUUUCUCUCCAGGGAAAUCAUGUAUUCUUUAAACUAGGUGCAAGUUUGGAGAAGCCACUCUAAAGGUUGAACCAAGCGUCCAUCAUCAAUGCUAAGGUUGUAGCUGCAAAGGUCCCCUUUCAAUAGUCCCCUCUCUGACUAGCCAUUUGUUAAAUUCUUCGAUCAAAACCUCUGUUUUGGCCAACGUGAAAUCGCCUUUACCACUGUCUACUGUAUGUAGGAUACUGAUGGUUAGUAACUGCUCAACACAAUGCAACCUCUUUUAUACAAAACUUUCUCUUUAAGCAAAAUGAAUGUAGGAUGAAAAAACAGUGAAGCCUGGUGAGCCUUGAAUGGCUGAGCGAUGGGCAAGAUGACAACUCACUAGCUGUCAGCACUGAUCUGUGUUCGCAUAGUUUUCUGGCCCAACACAUUCAGCUGGCUGCCAGCCACAGCCUUGACAUAUAAAGACGUAGUGUAGACCCCGACCAGAGCUUUGGUUUUUCAAAAGCUAUGCUCUCAUGCACUAUUUACGGAUGCUUCCCACUAACUGACUUUAAUUGUCGGAGAAUGUUAUGCUUGCCACUAAAAGAGAGCAGAAAACCGUGUAAUAGGUCGCGGUUUAACGGACAGCUGCGGCUGUAAUUGAGUCACUUGUUUCAACUUGCCCUUCAAAUCUGCAAUUAUUCAGCUGAUGCGAUGCAGAUUUGGAGGCGAAUGGAAACCAUCAUACCUCAGAGGCCUGUUACAGCUCUAGUAUGGUGCACAGCUGGAUAGGGUUACACUCUAUCUCUCCUAUUUAAGCCCACUUUUCACUGCCUGGUUCAGAACAGUGUGUUAAUCAUGUAAGCAGAAAAAGGUCACGUACCUGCUGUUUAGUUCAAAUUUAGAUACACAAAACAGUAAAUGUGGUGUAAGACAGCUUUGAU